CCCUUUAGUCUCCUGGAGGGAAAAGUACCCAGAAUUCCUGUUGUGAUCCAAACAAACCCAUGGAGGAAGAUCCCCAGCUGCUGCUGCUGCCCACCCUGCCGGUGCCCAGAUCUGGGACCGUUAGAGGGACAGUGUGGACUGAAAAGUACCUGGAAGCACACGGCUUGCAAGUGGAAAUCUGGAAAUUCCUCCUCUAAGGAGUGAGGCCCUGAACAGGGUCAGCCAAUGGGAGGUCAUCUGUGAACACCUGAUGUCUCUAUGUGGCCGUGCAGCAGCGCUCAAAGCUGGACUACGAGACUUUGUAAGAUUUUUUUGCUUUUCAAACUUAAUUCAUUCAUUCAUUCAUUCAUUCACUGUGUGUGGAGGUCAGAGGACAACUUGCAGAAGUCAGUUCCCUCCUGACUCUGUGUGGGUUCAGACAUCAAACUCAGGUCAUCAGGAUUGGUGGCAAGUGCCUUUCCUCACUGAGCCAACUCUCUGGCCCUAGAUUUUCUAGAAUUUUUAAGAGAUUCCCAUCAGACACUCAAGGAUCUCAACACUUGCUAUCUCUCCAUGAGAUUUUCUUGAUUUCUGAUGGAAACAGAAAUUCAGCCAAGUGGCAUGUGGCCAGCCAUGAAUGCCAGUCCUAGACUUCACUGUCACUGAACCUGGAGUAGAAGAGACACCCUCUCUCAUACAACCUACUCACUGAUAAUGUGGACUGUCUGUCCUCAGAUCAGUUGAGACAGAAAGCGAACAGUUUAAAUGAAUGCCCAGGAAGCAUCCAAGAUGUUCAGCGAGAAGAGGAAGAGUCACUGUGGGGUGGGUAGCACAGACAUCAUUCUGUAAAAUUACCAGAUCAACAGUUGCCAUCACAUUCUUUGAAGGGAGCCCUUCACCUCCAGGGCAGAGCAUGACUCGGUCAGCGCCCUGCGCUCUGGCUUUUCUGCCUUUUUAACACAGAUGCAUGCGACGCUGUGCGCUUCUUCCUGCGGCUUGGUUUCCCCGUUUGUUGAUGUAAUGGAAACUACCCUGGUGUCUAACCACCUAAGGGAUAGAUUUUACCCAGUUUCGUUGGGCUUUAAUAUAAACCUACACUUUUCCCCUAUCCAUCAGGGCUGCGUCCACGCCUGCGCACAAAGCCUACCACAGUUUACUCCUGAUGGUUCCAGAGUGGGGCUUUUAAUAGAACCCUGGGCAUGUGUCAUGUUAAAAAAUGACCUCUCUGAUGUUGUAAUAAGAUUAAAAACUUGGCAUGGUGCCUAGAUCAGAUGACAAUAUUUAUGAACACUCUUUGUAAUAUUUUGGAUUCUAAAAAACCCCCUCCCCCCAACACACACACCACUGCGCUAAGUCAAUAGGGAAAUAUUAAUCUCCAGGAAGUCAGAAAGGGAAGUCACCAGGGGGAUGGGCCACGGGGUCACUUUAGUUUCAUUGCAUAAGCCUCUGGUUACAGCAAAGCCUUCUGCUGGAAGUUCUUACUGAGAAAACAGCAGAGACAAGCCCUCUACCUCCCUUGGCUUUUGGUGAGGAAGAGGUCGGGAGUGACCCCCUGUGUGCUUUAAAAGGCCCCACUUGCCCCUCGCUGAGGCUUGCUUCACUGGCUGUUUAAUAAACAUCUGAAACAAUGUUUUAGACUUAUCUGUGUUCAUUAGCUUUGCAAGACUUCAGACCUUUGACCGUAUUUCUUUUUUAAAAUACUUUGUUCAUUCAUUCAUUCAUUUAUUUGUGUGUGUGUGUGUGUGUGUGUGUGUGUGUGUGUGUGUGUACACAUGCAAGAGUGAAGGCAUACACACACACACACACACACACACACACACACACACACACACACACACACUCACGUACACACAUACACACACACCCCACAGCAUUCACAUGGAGGCUACAGGACAUCUUUUGGGAGGUUACUCUCUCCUUCUUCUGUGGACUCUAGGAUGGAGCUUGGGUCAUUGGGCAGUGGGCAUGAGCCAUCUCACCAGCCCUUAACCAAAGUUCUUUCCAUCCACUUUCAAAGUCAGUGACAAAAAUAUGCUCUGCUAUGGAUGCUGGACCUUACAGUCUGAGCCACUUUAAGACUACUAAAACUUUUUUUUUCAAGACAGGGUUUCUCUGUGUAGUUUUGGUGCCUGUCCUGGAUCUCACUCUGUAGACUAGGCUGGUCUUGAACUCACAGAGAUCUGCCUGCCUCUGCCUCCAGAGUGCUGGGAUUAAAGGCAUGCACCACCACCACCCGGCUGUAAAACAUUUUUUAAAAAGCCAUAUUUAUCGUUUCCUCCCCCAAAUUGUAGGGCCAUUUUGGCAUUAUGGAGCAUUUAUAAACCUUGGGAUUUAUAAACGAGGUGAUUCAGUUGCUUGACAGCCACCAAAGACCAACCAUUUUUCCAGAAAGAUGAUGAACUUGAGGGAGGAGUCGUCGAGACUAGAAUCGGGUGAAGGGUGGCCAGGAGAUUCACCAUGUCCUCUUCCCUGAAAUCAGAGCCAGCUGCCUCCCGUAUUUACUUCCCAUGGACUGACUGAGGAUGAGCUCAAGGCUGCCUUUGCUACAUCCAGGCCUUCCUGGCUCAUGGCUUCAGCCUGCCUAUCAGGCUUCUUCAUGUGUAGUGUGGCGUUGGAAGUGAAGGUGGAGAUAAGCAGUUACUAUGUGGGUUUCCCGCAAGGACCCAGGAAUGGUGGAAAUGAGAAAGUGAAAGCCAGAGUUCAUCUCCUGUGAGUGAAAGCCAAAAAGGAGAGAAAGAGGUUCCCAGCAGAGUCCCACAGGAGGGACCCAGCUCCCCAUGUCUACUGUCCCCUAAGCAGAGUCCCACGGGAGGGACCCAGCUCCCUGUGUCUACGGUCCGAGUCCCACAGGAGGGACCUAGCUCCCAUGACCUCUGUCCCCCAAGCAGCAUCAGCCUUCCUAAGACACACUUACCCUUGUCAUCUAUCACUGUAGCCAUAGCGCCACUGGGACAGGGAACUCGCACCCCGUCCCUUCUGCACGAAAACACCAAGCCCCUGCAGACACUCACUCAGUUACGAUCCCAUCUUUGCAGCAUAUCCCUGUACACAGACGGAUGCACACGCAGCCGGACCAGGGAAAUGGAAGUCUGUCCGACAGGACCUUGUAUUCCAAAACCAUACCCAGGAAGCUCCCGGACAAAGGCAAGCCUUCAGCGGCCCACUGCUCUGAAGUACUCUUGGCCAACUUGCUUGGUCUGUAGCCAUCUUAAAACUUCUCUCCUAGCACCCCACAAGAUGGGGUACUUGUAUUUUGCACAUAUGAGAGUGAAACAUUUAUUUUAAAACAUAGUUUAGAGUCAAGGAAGACUAGCAAAGAUUUCAUUUGCCAUUUCCAAGUCUUAUCUCAGAGGUUUUGAGUUUAGAAACUCAACAAAACAAGAGAUUAGCCUCUGUAUCUCCUCAGAGUGUGUGUGCCAUGUGCCAAUGAGGCCAGGGUGGACUCAGCCACGCAAAGACAACUACAUGAUAGAUGCACUGAGAACUGCCUUCCAGUACCCUGAGACACUCCCUAGUUCCCUCUGUUGUGGGGCACAGCACUGACUACUGGAGACGAGUUCUAGUUACAGCUUUUCUGCAAUCUGCCCUCACCCAAACAGAAUCUGUCUCUGCUCUGCUCCUAGGACUGUGUGAAGUUAAUCCAGGAGGCAGGUUGUUCUCCAUUACUGGUUGAGGCAGGUCGGGCUGGAGAAAUGACUCCCUGGGUGGAACACUAUCAAUGUAAGCAUGAGUACAUGAGUUCAGAUCCCCAAGUAUCCACAAUAAAAGCCAGACCUGGUGACGUGCAUCUGUAAUCCCAGAGCUCCUAGGGUAAGAUGGAAGGUAGAGAUGGGAGAAGCCAUAGAAAACUGCAGGUCAGCUAAGCAGGGAUAUGGUCAACAAGAGACGCUGCUCCAAACAAGGUAGAAGGUGAGAACUAAAACCCCUCCUUAUACACGUGGCAUGUGUCUACCCAUAUUCUCUCUCUCCCCCUCCCCAACCCCUCUCAUGCACACCACACACUACACACACACACACACACACACACACACACACACACACACACACACGAAGAUGUUGUUUUACAUUAUGCUGGAGAGAUAGCUCAGUGGUUAAGAGCACUUGCUGUUCUUCUAGAGGACCUGAGUUUGGUUUCCAGCACCCACAUAGGAUGGUUCACAACCACCCAUAACUCUAGCUCCAGGGGAUCCAGUGUCCUGUGGAGAAAUCUCUGUGGGCGGUCCUCUCAUCAAUAGCCCCUGCACCUUCCCUUAAAAAUGUGUCAGAUCGGCCGGGCGGUGGUGGCGCACACCUUUAAUCCCAGCACUCGGGAGGCAGAGGCAGGCGGAUCUCUGUGAGUUCGAGGCUAGCCUGGGCUACCAAGUGAGUUCCAGGAAAGGCGAAAAGCUACACAGAGAAACCAUGUCUUGAAAAACAAAAAAACAAAACAAAAAAAAAUGUGUCAGAUCUCCUGGCACUAACACUCACUGUGUUCUCUGGAGUACCAAGCCACUUAUUCAAGAAGCCAUCCCUGUCCAGCUUCCUUCCCCACAGUCACAGGUGGAGAGGGCUCCUGCCUCAAAGAGGAGCAGGGAUCUUCUGGCCUCUGUGCAUCAAGGACUCCCAUACUCUGUAGCGUCAAGGACGGGAGGAACCUCAUGAAGGUGGCUUCCCAUUUGCUUUUGAAUGGUUCCUCCCAGAAACAAAGCAGUAUCUUUUUACCUAGGAAAAGUCACCAAUUCAGAGAAACACAGAGAGGGAAUGCACUCGUCCCUACUUCUGCCCAGUUCAGAUGAUCACUCACUUUUAUUCCAUCUGGGGUCCCAAUGUAAGGGAAAUUCUAAAGUAGUUCAAACUGACGUGUGGCCAGCUUUCUUUCCUGCUAUUAGACAUUUUCAACCUUAACUGUCCCUAGUGGCUAGGACAUUCUAUAUUACUUUUUUUUUGGAUGCAUAUAUACAAACAUAAAUACAUUUUAUUGAAGUCAUGAGAUCACAGUAGAAACUAAUACAUUGACUGGAUUAACUCUAGUGUAGUUAAUAUAAUAAAAUGAAUAUAAUCUGUCAGCCUUUAGUAAGUAAUACAAUUUUUGAGGCAUGAAACAGAAGACAGAAAUCUCAUAUUACAAUUAAGUUUCGAAUAAGUAUACCCCACAGCUUCAAGGGUAUAGUAGAUUGAUGUGCAAGUCAAUCUGUAUAGCAUGAAUCUUAAAAGUUCUUAUUAAUAAAAUCAAACCUGAGGCCAGUUAUUGGGGUGAAUGCUGGAAGAUCAGAGAAGCAGAACAAGCCACAGCUACCUCACCUUGCCUGUUCCUCAGCUGGUCUUGUUUCCUCAGACUGGAGGCCUCUGAGUCCUCAUUGAGAAUGAAUCUCAGCUGAACUGCUGCUAGAAGCCUGAAAGCUUAACCAACCAAAUGCUUCUAGUUUCUGGUCUUCACGCCUUAUAUACCUUUCUGCUUUCUGCCAUCACUCCCUGGGAUUAAAGGCUCACUUUCUGGGGUUAAAGGUAUGAGUCACCAUGCCUGGCUAUUUCCAGUGUGGCCUUGAAUUUACAGAGAUCCAGAGGGAUUUCUGCCUCUGGAAUGCUAGGAUUAAAGGCAGAGCGACCACUGUCUAUCCUCUAUGUUUAAUAUUGUGGCUGUCCUGUUCUCUGACCCCAGAUAAGUUUGUUAGCAUGCACAAUAUUUUGGGGAACACAAUACCACCACAUAUCUGUAAAAGUCAGUUUCUUCUGAUACUCAAAGAACACCAAUAUCAAUAGCUCAGAGAGGCAGGAAGCACUUUUAAAAAUAUACUUAUGAGGGAAGGAGUCAUUUAAGAGAAUACAGGAAAGCUGGAUAGGAAUGAGAGCCCUAAGUGGGGAGUCACCAUUUUGAGUGGCAGCUGUUUCCUGUGAGGUAGGAACAAAGUUUGGGAGUUGUGUGUGCAUGGUGCCGGGGGAGCUCCCAGCGUCCCUGCUUCUCAGAACAAACCACGAGGGCAUGUUCCUCUCUAAUGUCUCUGUUGUUGUUUGGGUUUUUGAGACAGGGUUUCACACAGCCGAGGCAGGCCUCUGACUCUGUUUAUAGCUGAAGAGGACCUUGAACUCCUGAUCUUCUUCUUGCCGUGUCCCCAGGACUGGGAUUACAGGUGCAGCCCAUUUCCAUCUCCAAAUGCCUCUGCAGAGGUCUAAGUAAAUAAAGUUAGGAUGUGGAAGGCGCCAUCUCUUUCCUCAAGAAUAAAGGGUUCAGGGAAAGGCGAGUGACAAUCACGUCUUGUGUGUCCUUCUGGAGUAUGGCAUGCAGUAGAGAGGUGUUCUAGGACAGUGAGCAGAGGCCCCAGCUGGGAGAGAGGAGGAUGCUCUCUGGAAAGCUAAGCCAGUUCAAAUGACGGUAUCCCUGAGGCUUAGCGGUCCCCUGCCCAACUAUUGCUAGUGUUGCUGUUCUCCACACAGGGAGAGCUUACGGAGCUAACAGAAGAGCGCAAGUCCGGCCAACUCACCUUGGGUCCCAGACCUGCUACUUACAGGCCUGCUUUGGACCUUCGUUUCUGUUGAGUGUGCAUGUGUUCAACAUUACCUAGUUUUUUGUUUGUUUUUUUGUUUUGUUUUUUCAUCUCCCACUUUAUUAUCGACAGAGUUUGUACUGACUUUGGGCAAUGACAUUGAUAUCCUGGCCACCCAACAGUGUAACUUGAGAAAUGCUGCUGGCUGGGAAGAGAGAGGCCGGUGGAGCCUGCCUGGCGUGACUCCAACCCCCAUGUUGCCUUGUACUUCAGGGCCCCUUUCUGAAUGUCACUGGAACCAGAGCAGCUGAGAUGUUCUCAGCAUGAGGAGCCUUUGGAUUUCAGUUUCACGUUAGUAAUAUCGAGUGUCACAUAUGGAGCUGGAGAGAUGCCUCAGCAAUUAAGCAGAUGACCCCAGUUUGUGUCCCCGUACCCAAGUUGGGUGGAUCAUGAUCACCUAUAACUCUGGUUGCAGGGGGAUCCAACUUGACCUUUGAGCUUCUGUAGGCACUUGGACUCAAUUCACACAUGCUUACAUGCAAGCCCGUGCCCGUGUGUGCAUGUGUACUCACACACACGCAAUUGAAUAAAGCCAUAAAAUCUUGAAAAGAGUGUAUACACACACACACAUACACACCUCACCACCUUCUUCAUGGUCAUAAGACUAAUCUAAGUAUUUGAAAUCAUAAUAUUUAUGUUGUAGUGUUGCGCUGUGGUUUUGUGAUGCCUAGAGCAGCCAUGUGGGUCGGCCCUCAGUAGACCAUGGAUGGAAGCAGCUGUCAGCAUAAUUGUCCACGGGCAGCUGUGCCCGAGGCAUCCGCCCUGUCAUGGGACACACUGCGUUGAUCUCUCAUUAGAAAAUAAGGGAAGCAGCCAGCAGCAAGUGUCCCCUGGAGGGAAGCAGGCAGGUCAGUGUGUGUGACAGGUGGGGCGGCUUGAAACCCAGCAUCACUCCCCACAUCUGUCACUGUCCAAGGAGAGAGUGGUCCCUUCUCCAAAGUCACUGUUUGGGGGGUUGUAGAUAACAUCGUGGACCACAGAAGUCCCUGCCCAUGUGUCCUUAGCUCCCGUGAAUCAGGACCAAGGGAAAGUGACUGAACUUGCUCUGUGUCUCAGACCUGAAGAAAGUUCACAUUGUUUUUGCAAGACAUCUUGCCGUGUGGUCCUGCUGUCUUCUCGCCUAAAAGGACGAGGGACCUUCUGACGUGCCGCAGUGACCCUGAAGGUGACAGUGACAGCAGCCAUCCCUGGAACGUCAGGACAGCUGCCUCUAGCACAGAGUGAAGCAGUACACCUGAUCUACCCCGCAGAUGGCAGGAGGUUCAUGAAAACAUCAGACACACCAGUGCGGGUAAACACUCCCACCCACGUGACGUGCUUUUGUGUUAAUUAAGGGAGAAGACUGCCCCAUGCCUGGCCAGACCUGCCCCAGGUUGCUCCUUGCUCCCUGUGUGGGAGUAGACUUUCUCCUGCGCAUUCCUCACUUUCACAGUGGCCCCUCUUCCGAUAUGCCCAUGAAUAAACCCAGCAGAGUGUUUCCUAGUGAGGAAUCAUCCUAGCCUGCAGCAACGCGUCUCAGGAUUAGGAGUUUGGAUCUCUGGGUCAGUCCCUCUCUGUGGUCAGACUCUGUCACAUGUGUGACCCACAGCAGUGCCCAGACAGUCACAUUCACCUGUCCAUCGGCUCUGGUUGAAAUCUGUCGGAAAGCAGACCCCUGUGGGGGGGCUUUGUCUUAUGUAUUUCUACUAUGGCUUUCUGCGCCUUAGAAGAGGCAUGCAGGGAAGAUGCUAUUCAUCAAUUCAAGAGACCUAAGAGAGGAAGUGAUUCUGUUUUUAUUUAAAGUUGGCAUUUUCCUCAGUUGCUCCAACCUAGAGAAGGGGGUACCUGGGCAAGUAUCCAACCGUCAUAGUUCAGCCAUGCUGUUCUGCUCAGAAACUCAGCGACUCCCGCACACUGUCAACACGGCAGGGUGAAGAUAUAGUUGUAAUAAUUAAAAUCAAGGCAGAGCUCAUAAAAAGCUGUGUGGCUACUCCCAAUGCUGCCGUGAUCAUAAAAUACUCUGAGAAAAAGCAACCUAAGAUAGAAGGUGUUUAUUUUUGGCUAACAGUCCCAGUUACAGUCCAUCCAGGCAAAGAAGUCACGCGGCAGGAGUUGGGAUGAACUGGCCACACGGCAUCUCUAACCAAGAACAGAGAACAGCGGCUGUUAAGGCCUGUGCUUAGCUUGCUCUCCUGGAUUAUUAAGUCUAGAUCCUGCCCACAGGUAUGAUGGGUCCUUCCUACAUCAGUUGAUGUAAUCAAAACUCCCACAAGUCUGUAUUCCAGGCUGUUUUAGAUUCUGUCAGGUUGGCAAUGUCACCCAUCACACAUACACUAAGCAAACAUUUGUGGCAAAAACCCCUUGCCUUCAACCCAACAGGAUCAGAUGGACUGACUCAGAAACAUUGAGGAGGGCCAGGAUGGGUCCAGUGGUUUGGGAUGGGGUUGUAGGAGGGUACCUGGACUGCUGGCAAACUUUGGCAGUCGGGAGACUUAUAGAUGGGAAGGGAGUUUCCAUGAAAGCUACAUCAGGCCAUAGCUCGGAGAAGGGCUACUUCCGUGGAAGCAUCGAGAGAGUCUUUGGAUGUGUGGGGACUCCAGACCUGUGUGUUCUGGGUGAGAGUGGAGAAGGCUGUGUAUGAACAAGUAUAGAACCAGGGCCAGGUCACUUUUGCAUGUGAAUAGAGGGUGACAGGACACUCUUGCAGACUCAGGGCAGGUGUCCAACAUGGGUAACUUCUCCAAUACUUGGAAACUGCAAACCCAGAAAACUUUGAAAAGACCUGAUGGCAUUAGGAGAGAAGCAAAGCUGGGGGAAAUGAUUGUGAUCUAUUUGCUAGAUGCAAUAGUUACUUUCUUAAUAUAGAAGAGUAUCUCUCAGAUUAAUAGCUGAAGAAUGGAAUGAGGGUUCACACCAGGGGAAAAGCAAGUCGGCUUCUCUCUGAAGAGGUAAGACUUGAAACCAUGGGGGAACCUCUUAUCCCUUGGCUGAGGCAGAAGUUUGAUAACAUUUUCUCUGAGUGUGUUUGAGACAGUGACACUCAGGGCUUCUGGGAAUAUAAACUAAUGCAUUGUCCUUAGAGGUGGGUUUCAGAGUAGUGUGUGUGUGUGUGUGUGUGUGUGUGUGUGUGUGUGUGUGUGUGACACAGAGCGAGAGACUGUAUUGAGUUUAAGUACAGAUCAGUUAAAGGAUGUUAUAUGUUGAAAAUGAAUACAGAUGGGACUAGAACCAGGCGAUCCCUGGGUGAUUCGCGGUGACUGGUGACUGGUUGCUGGCCUCAGAAGGGCAGUGGGAGGAAGCAGUCACUAAUAACACUUGGAGUAAAUUUUGAGAUGGACAAAAAGGCUCCUGGAGAAUUGUUUGGAAGCAUAGAACAGUGACCACCUAUGCAGAGCAAGUUACAGGGAACACAAAUGAAUAAGGAAACUUAAGGUCAGAGCUACAUAGGGUGACCCCUCAGCAGAGCCCUCCAGGCUGGUGUCCUACCAGGGAUGGGAGGUGUUUUCAAACUCGGAUCUAGUCUUGUCUUUCACCAGAAUCUUAAAAUCACACAAAUUGAGUCCUUGGAAGUGAUGACCUCUUCACUCUGGAUAUUUAAAUAUUUAAACACAUAAGUAAAUAUUUAAAUAUAUCUGUAGAUAAGGGGAAAUUCUAGAAACUUCUGAGGCAUAUACAAUGAAUAAGUGUUCAGAGUGGGACAUUUUGGAAAGUACCAAAAGACACAAAAGACAAGAGGAGUUUCCAAAUAGCUCCUUGUCAACUCUGCUUUGAAUGUGGAAAAGUGAGUUAAUACAUAUCCUAGAGACCACGCAGUCCCCCUAGAACAUGAUAUCCUCAGUGUUGACCUCAGAGCUUAUCAAUACAAGGGCUGAGCCUCUCUUUCUAAUAGGAGACUCUUAUCUCAGUGGUCCAGCUGGUUUUGGGGAGAUGUGGUCACUGGCUCUGGGACGGGGGGUGGGGAGGGCUGGUCACUGCUUCUAAAUGUGCUCUGGACUGUGCCUGAUCUGCCUGGUGACCAGGAAAGCCAUGGCUCCCUCACAUCCUGGCAUCUCACCUGCAGAAUUUCCAAGGUCUCCUUCACUGUCCUUUUAUUAACUUGAUUGUCUGGACCAAUUUCUCUAGCACAUUCUUUGGGGAGAGAGAGCCUAAACAAGAACAAGGCUAAGUUUCUGAGCAUAUAAUAGCCUUUCCCUUUCAUAUUUAACUACCGUAUGCUGGAAUAAAGAAUUGUUUUGCUGGCUUACUUUUCCCUCUGGUAUAACAACUAUCAUUCCAUGUUGCCAUUAGACUUUCUGAAGGUGAUCUGAAUUUCCUUUCUUCAUAAAGUAACUAAUUUCAUUGCCCAGAUACCCAAAGGCCUUCCCUGUUCUUUUGACUGCGGUAAAGUCAAUGGCUUACAUCCUGGGCCUGUUGGUACCACAGGCUUGAACACAGGGCCCGUGUUAGCAUUCUCAACCUUUUUAUGUCAAGAGACACCAGUGGAGUUCCAAUGUUUCAUCUUUAUUCCACUGUUUGUUGUGAAAUUCUAUCUAACCUCUGAAUUAAUUUUUUAAUGGAAGGAUGCACACGUGCGUGUGAAGGUGGCCGGUCCACACUAGGGUCUUCUCCAGUUACUCCCCACCUUGAUUUUUUUUUUUUUGAGACAGGGUCUCUCACUGAGCCUGUGUCUCACAGAUCUGGCUAGGCUGGCUGGCCAGGGAGCUUCAGAGUCCCCACUCCUGGGAAUACGUGGGUGUGAGGAGUCUGCCCUCAUGUCCUUGUGCAUGCUCAGCAAGCAUUCACAGCACUGAGCCAUCCCCAGCUUCCCUCUUAAAUAUCCUUCCCUAUUGCCUUGUUUCCUUCCUCCCAGCCUUCUGGGAUGCCAUUUCAUUUCUUCGCACUCCUUGCUCACCCCCAGAAUGCUUUGUCUCAGCUCUAACUCUUCCUAGAAGGCAUGGCCGCCACCACCUUAAAUUUCGCUACUUCUUUGCUACGUUGCUCAUGUCUUCUGAAUUUCAUGGAGGUUGUUUGGAGCUCCUGAGGCACUGCUCUUUCUACUCUGUGUCUUUGGGAGGGGUCUCCAUUCCAGCAGGAGCAUCCCCUUUUCCUUGGAUUAACCGGAGGCACCCUGUGGCCCCUUCUGCUCCUCCUCAUCACCUGAGGGAGGGCCCCUGCAUUUGUGGGAGCGAGAGAUGGAUUAUGUAACACGAAUCUUAAAAGGUCUUGUCAAUAAAAAACCUGAAGCCAGAUAUUGGGGUAAAUUCUGAAAAAUUAGAGAAGCAGAACAAGCCACAGCCAACCUCACUUUACCAACUCAUCUGAUCCUGUUUCCAUGAAUCCUCAGAUUGAAAGCUUCUGAGUCCUCACCCAAAUGGAUCUCAGCUGAACUGCUGCUAAAAGCCUCUAGUUCCUGGUCCUCACACCUUUAUAUACCUUUCUGCUUCCUGCCAUCACUUCCUCUCUCCACCCAGCUGCAUCACUUCUGUCUGUCUGUACAGACCUCCAGACCUUUAUGGUUAACUAGUGUUGGAAUUUAAGGCGUGUGUCCUUCCCAAGCAGAGGCAUGAGAUCUCAAGUGCUGGGGUUAAAGGUGUGUGCCACCACUGCUUGGCUCUGUUCCCAGUGUGGCCUUGAACUCACAGAGGUCCAAAUGGAUCUCUACCUCCCGAGUGAUAGGAUUAAAGGCACGGGUGCCACCCCUGUCUGGCCUCUAUGUCUAAUCUAGUGGCUGUUCUGUUCUCUGAUCCCCAGAUAAGUUUAUUAGGGUACACAGUAUAUUGGGGGAUACAAUAUCACCACAGGAUUAUGAUGCUUUCCACCUCUCUGGCUCCACAGCUCCCCAUGUUGUAACUCUCAUGAACCCCUCCAUCUGCCAUUGGGCUCUGCCCCUGACAAAUGCUCCUCUGUAUAGGACUCUGUCCUGGGAGGAGACGUGUUAGUUGGUUGGAGAGUAGAACCCAGCAUCCCCUUAAAAAUAAGUUUUGGAAUACGUAUUUGUUGACUGGACAUAGUGGUGCAUGCCUUUAGUUCCAGCACUUGAGAAACAGAGGCAGGGAGAUCUCUAUAGUGAAUUCCAGGACAGCCAGAGCUACAUAGUGAGACUCUCUAAAGACAAAAUAAAACAAACAAACAAAACUAUGCCUUUGGGAUUAAAGACUAAGAAACACAUUCUUGAGGUGACUGCUCACUGCCAAGGAACUCAGCUGUUGAUAUAAUACAAAAUGGAAUGUACUCUACUGUUCUAGAAAGAGUCAGUUCAGAAAGUUAAAUGGAGAACAUGGUAGAUACUCAUUACAAUAUCUUGGCAAAUUACAGAUGAGGAAAAAUGUGGAAUUAAAUUCAUUCUCUCUCUCUGCCUCCCCCAUGCCCCAUACCUCCUCCCUCACCCUUUCCCUCUCUUUGGAAUCUCUAACUGGGCUUCCCCCCCCCCCCCCCCAGUUCAGAGUAUCAGUUAAGUUUCGUUCACCGCGAUGCUAGCUUGGCGCAGAGUGCUGUAAAUAACAAGGGGCCUCUGCCACCCCACCCCCACUCCCUUAUUUCCUACAGCUCGAUGGCAAGUGUCCUUUUGUAACACGGCUGCAGACCCUGCGUUCCUUCCUCUUGUUCCACUACUAUAGGACAGUUAUGUGACUGCACGCUGGCCGCCUUCCUUCCUGGAAGAGUGGCUUUCCCUGCAUUUCUUACAUUUGUUUCCAUCUGCACUAAAUUGGAGUGAGGGAGAAAUCCAUUAUGGAGAUGACAAGAAGGGCCACCUUGGCAAAGUGCCCCCUCUUUCUUUCCUGCUCUCCAGAGAUGGCUGUAUGUCACAGCUCAGAGACCUUGGGAAGCCAUGUUUCCCCUCCCACAGCUCCUCUGGGCUAGCCCAUGGCUGCUUUGGUAUUUCUGUCCCCACAGACGAUUCCAGUGGGUGACCAGUGUUAAAGACUCUCCAAACUGGGCCACAGAUUCAAAAGGCGAUGCUAAGGUAAUGGACAGGUGUGGAAUGGUUGUGAGAAGCUGGUGUGCUUCUCUGGUGUGCCCUCAGCUUGCAGGUAAUGGGGAAGUGUGGUGUUAUUUCAACAGGGGCUGUGGCGUUAGGUCCAUCCUCAUGACAGCAUGUCACAGCACAUCACGGUGUUGUACUGAAGGCUGCAGUCAGGGUGAGGGAGGGGCCUCGGCCCCACAGCAGAGCCGUGCAGGUCAGAUAGGGCCAGGAUGAACAGGGCUGCCUGGCAAGAAGUUCCCCAGGGAGACCCCUGACGGUGAGGUAGCCCCAGGAAAGGUGUGUCCUGGAGCCCAGGGGAACUGAAAUGAAGUGUGGGCCACUGGUUCUGUCGCUGAAGGAAUGGGGCUGGAGCUGGAGGAGGACCUGCCUGUCUGGAUGUAAAUUUCUAAGACACAAUACUAGAAAAUUAAAUCUGCUAAUAUGUUAAGUAAGCAGUACAUCGAACCACAGUUGAAAUUGAUACUUAAAAUGCAAAUUCAGCAUCCAAAUGGGACAGGAAAUGGGACACGCAACAUUAAAAAAUGAGUUCCUGUAGAAUGAUGGCUCACCUGGAACCCAGCACCCAGAAGGCCAAGUAAGGUAAGAGGAUCACAAAAAGCAAAUGAUUCAAUCACUAUAACCUGUUACAUUAAUAAUCAAACCUUAGUAUAUAUAAAUGAGUUACCUUAUCAAACCCAGUUAUAGGCAUGAAUUUUUAAAAACAUUAUUAGUGGUAAAAAGGGGGUUUCUGAAAUCAGAUAAGGCUGGUGUGUAGUGAUGAAACUGACUGAAAUGGCUGUUCCAGUGAGGGGUCCCAGCUCUCCACGGGUCAGUCAUGAGACGGUGUCACCGUGUGGGGUAAAUUAUCUUCCAGGAGUUCUUCACCAACACAUUAAGGCAAGAAAACUAUGAAGAUUAAACAAAAAGAAACAGACCUGUAUUUACUCACAGGAAACACGAUUUUCUAGCUAGAAAACCUAAGGGGGCCACAGACUGCUGGCAUCGCCUGCAGAGGAGGGCAACGUCAGCAUGCCAGUGCCAAUGCACUCCUGUGGUCCAGGAGUGACCAUGUGGGAAUCUGAGACUGUGAACAGCACAAGCUGUGGAAGCAAGAAAGGCACCCCCCCACACACCAGGAGUCAGCGUGGAACACAGGAACGGCAGGAAUGCCGUAGGGAAAGUUAACGCACACUUAGAUAAAGGGAGUCUUUGUUCGUGGAUUAGGGGCUGGACACUAAUUGUGAUUUCAUCUAUGGAUUCAACUCAAUCUCAGCAAAAAUACCUCCAGGUACUUUAGGAAUAGGAAAUUAGAAAGGCUAUCAAAAGUGAAGAGCGUGCGCUUGACUGCAAUUUUGUGGCGAGUUCUAGUGUUUUAUACACACGUGUGCAGAGAUGAUAUGUCACCACUUGGGCGAAGAUCUCAGCAGCACAGGAAGUCCGUGUUUGCAAGUGUGUUUAUUUCAACCUCACACCCAACAGAAGAGCACGGCCCACACAGGAGGGAGCUCUGUGAGAUGUGGAGAAUUUUCAUGGCCUUGGGGUAUGCCAAGAUUUCCUACAUAGUUGUGAAACGCAUGCUACCUGGAAGUGGAAGGAGCCAGGUAAAUUAUCAUUAAGAACCUCAUUCAUGAACGUCACCACUAAAAGAAUUGGAAAUGCAGUGGGAAAUCCGCUGAAUGUAUGCCUUCCAAAUGAAGGAACACAAGUGGCCCAUAAAUAAUACAUUUAAAGUGGUUAACAUCCUUACCUAAAGGGGAGUGGAAAUCAGAGCUACAGCAAGAUGCUACCUCAUCCCGGUGAGAACGGCCACCCCAGAGAAAACAGACAACAAGUGCUGGUGAAGUUGGGAUGGGGAGAAGAGUAGCCGUGGAAAUCGAUAUGAAGGACCCGGCAGAAGCUAAGCAUAGAGCUACCACAGACCCAGUUACACUGCUCCUGGGAAAGCCAUCCCACCACAGAGACCACCGCAUGCUGUGCUCACUUCUCACCACCUACAGCGGUCAAAAUAGGAAACCGGCCUCGGUGCCCAACCGAUGUAUCGAUGAGGACGUGGUGGUGGGUGUGGUGGUGGGUACACACAAGGGCCUCUUGCUUAGCCACAAAGAACACAAGCACACCAUUUGUAGGAAAAUGAGCAUCAUUUAUUAAGUAAAAUAAGCCAGAUUCAGAAAGGCAAAUGUCCCAUGUUUUCUGUCAUAAGUUGAAAAUACCCAUGACGGUAUAAUGGUGUGGUGGUGUGAGUAGGAAUGGCCCCCAUAGACUCACGUGUUCAACUGCUUAGUCAUUGGGAGUGACAUAUUAGGAGGUGUGGCUUGUUGGAGUAGUUGUGGCCUUGUUGGAGGAAGUGUGUCCCUGUGGAGGGGGGCUUUGAGGUCUCAUAUAUGCUCAAGCCACCCUCAGUGUGAUAGUUCACUUCCUGUUGCCUGCAGAUCAAGAUGUGGAGCUACCUCUCCAGCACCAUGUCUGCCUGCAUGCUGCCAUGCUUCCCACCAUGACAAUAAUGGACUGAACCUCUGAAACUGUAAGCCAGCCCCAGUUAAAUGUUUUCCUUUAUAAGAGGUCACAGUGUCUCUUCACAGCGCUAGAAACCCUAAGACAAGUGGGGACUACAGUCAGUGGGUAAGGGGAGGGAUAAGUAUGGGUGGUCAGGGGUAAAUAGAAUCAAAGUGCCUUAUAUAUAGCAUGGAGAUGUCACAAUAAAAAUAUUUUGUAGAAUUAACAUACAUGAAGUGAAUAAGGACUUUACAAUACACCUGGGCACAGUGCAGAUCUCUAAUGAGAUGCUUGUUAGGACAGGGAAUUUCUUCAUACCUGUACCGAAAAAGGGUAGACCAGAAAAGCAACCAUUUUAUUUUUUUAUUUUAUUUUUUUUUCAAGACAGGGUUUCUCUGUGUAGCUUUUUGGAGCCUAUCCUGGAAUUCACUUUGUAGACCAGGCUGGCCUCAAAAUCACAGAGAUUCACCUGCCUCUGCCUCCCGAGUGCUGGGAUUAAAACCGUGCACCGCCGCCGCCACCACCCAGCAAAAGCAACCAUUUUAAAAAGCCAGGACUUGAACGAGCACAUCCCUGAAGGGUCCAUGGAACCAGCCAGAACCACAUGAGAACAGUAGCCCAGAAGAGCGAGCCCAGGGACUGGGGAACUGCCGUUGUAAACAACAGGAAAGGCAGAGGGACAGACUGACACAAAGAAGGGAAAGAAGGAGACAGGGGAGGAGAAACAAAUGGCGGUCUGAACCCUGGCGAGCAUGUUGUAGGUAGUAUCAGCUGGUGCUCAACUUACACGCUCUACAGUCCGGCCGUUCUGCCCUUUGCUUCCUGUUCACCUGAACUGCACGUGGCUGUGCACCAGAGACUAACUACAAACAUCCCCUGCACCACUGUUUAUAAUACCUACAUCCUUUAAUGGUGAACUCAGGGGUAUGUUGUGAUGUAGUCCUACAACAGAGUGGCACCUAUCCAGAAGACCCAGUACCAUGGGCCAGUGGUGGCACACGAAUGACAGAUGACCAGGUGGCAGCUGGCAUUUGCUCCCAUCUUUACAAAAGUAGUCUGUGCUUAAUGGAAGUCAGAGGAUGCUGGCAUAUGCAUGCAGAGCCUGGGACACAGCAAGAACGCGUUCCCUGGAAUGCAGGUCACACGCUGUUUUGUUAACUUGAAUGAAGGUGAGGCAGGCGUGUUCUCUUGGCCACGUCAUCCACCUGAAUGCUCAUGUGCACUUUUGAUUUCACAUAUUUUUAAUAAAAAAAAUUUGAAAGGGCAUGUACACGUGGAUUAAAGUAGGUAAGAAAAAGAUCGUGGCUUCCCAGUGGCUGAUGAACCUGCUGUCAACUAUCUGUCCGUCUUGCUGACUUCUAGCAACUGAAUCUGUAUGAGUUUGAGACCUCUAUGAUCUAGAGUACUGAUGGUUCCGACAACAGGAUCAGGCCGUGCCACACUGGACCUUGCGGCCAGGGUGAAGGUGACACGUGGCGGCCCCUCUGAGCUGGAGGGGCUGUCCUGGCUCCUCUCUCAGCCUCUGGUGAAGUACCGAUCACCCUGGGGGUUCCCUGGUUUCUGAUGUGCCACCCUGAGCCCUGUCUCCUCCCCACAGAAUGUCCCCUGUUGUGCAGACCUAUGUCCAUAUUUUCCCUUUCAGGAGAAUCAGGCACAUUGCCUGAGAGCUCUGAAAUCCUGCUUUAACGGCCUCAGUAAAGCCCCCAUCUCCAAAUAAGGCCAGAUUGUGAGCUUCUGAAGGUAACUUCCAGACCCUGCAAGGUGAGAUGGCUGAAGAAACCAGAUCCCGCAGCAUCUGGGGGCUGUCCAUCCAUUUUAAUUGAAUGCACUAAUUGAAUCACCCGCUUGGCAUAUGCUGGAAGAGGGACAGAGGAACUGGGCAGGCGUGCUGUGUUCUAGCCUGCAGGAAGCCAGCAACUGCUCCAUGAUGGUGCCGCCUGACUCUGUCCCCUCCUCCAUUUACACUGAGCAGGGGCAGGAUCUUCUGCAGUCACUGCUCUUGCCUCUGCUUCUCUGAAAACCUCUUCGCCAGUUCAAACUGUCCGACCAGGAGCAGCAAACACACGCAGCAAGAAAUCUCCCAGUGAACACAGACCCGCUGCACACCCCAGAAAGGGCGGAGUGCCCCUGACUCCAUACUAAUCCUUCUGUGCCCCACUAAAGACACAGGAUGUGGGGACUAAACAGGAGAGGGACAGGGGGGUGGUGGCAGAGACAGCGAGCCACCCCGGUCUGUAGUCCAUUGCCAAAUGGUUCUUCUUGGCCAAGAAUGUACUCCAACGAUGGCCUUCCCAGCACUGUCUAGACUUUGACAAUUUCCAAUGUUACGUAACUCAGGGUGGCGGAAUAUUUUCCCAUUAACUGCGGAGUGAGCCCACAAAGGUCACCGAUGAAAUAAUGUUUCAAAGGGUAUGGAAAGCACUCAAAAAAUUCAAGAAACUGGAGGGCUAGCCACACCCAUACUUUUUGAUACCCAUUCAUAGAUAAAGUGAGGUCUCAGGUUUGACCGGCCUAGGUUCCAGUCAGGGUUUGAGAAGUGUGGAGAAAAAAAAAAAAAAUAAGACCAGCUUGUCUCUUUGCUGGCAGAAUGAGGAUGUCUGUCCAGGGACAGGGACAGCCCCACAGCUUGCUAAUGGCCUAAUGAUGACACAGGACAGUUGCCCUGGUUGGAGCAUCGCUGAGCUGGCUGAGGCAGGAGGCAUUUCACAAUCACAUUUUGUAAUGGAUUUGAUAGACGCUGGUGCUCUGGGCUCAAAAGAGAACGGGAAAUAGAGAAGAACACAAAAUAGCAAGGAAGGCAGGGGCAUUCUGGGAAUAGGGAAGGCCCGCCCCAGCCCACUGGGAGGUCCUCAUUUAGAGUGCCUGCAGGGUCUGCCGCUGAUAGACCAGUAUCUGUAAGCCAGUCAGGAUCCUCUUUAUGUAGACGCUGCUUUACCAUCCACAGGCUGUAGGCCGAGACCUGCCCCUCUCUGACUUCCACAAUUGCUGUGAGUCCAUGCAUUUCUGGGCCCAGACAAGUCCUCUUCCUCAAGAGGCUGGCCUCGCAGCGUGAGAGAUAUACACCUGGAGUUCAGGCUGGACUUUCAGGGGUAUUCCCAGGAUCCUGCCCACCCCAGGUGUCUAAGAACUGGCAACAAGUACAGAGGUCUUUCUAGUUAAAGUGAACCCCCCCUCCCCCAUGAAUGCUGUCACUUUAUUUAUUUAUUUAUUUUUUUUUUGGUUUUUCGAGACAGGGUUUCUCUGUGUAGCUUUGCGCCUUUCCUGGAACUCACUUGGUAGUCCAGGCUGGCCUCGAACUCACAGAGAUCCGCCUGGCUCUGCCUCCCGAGUGCUGGGAUUAAAGGCGUGCGCCACCACCGCCCGGCAGUGAAUGCUGUCACUUUAAACACUGACUUAAAAGAGAAAUUUUCUGUGAGAUUCAAGGCAUCUGCUGCCGGCUACUCUUGUUCUUGAGGGACUCUGUUUGGUCUACUGAUUUAUGACUCCCGAUAAUGUUUCUUUAAGUCCUGACUGACCCAUCAUCCCCUGACCUUGGUGAAGCCCCUCUCUGCUGCUGAGUGAAGCCGAGCCACCGGUGACCAUGAGCGGAGCCUCUGCCAUCUGUCCCUGUGUCGUGGACAUGUGUCAGAGCAGCAUGAUGGGCGCCUGGGGACUUGGGAGCAAAGUGUAGCCCUGGCAAGUGUCCCUCUGUCAGUCAGCAGCCCCUCCUGGGGACAGGAGUCUGCGGGCAGAGCAGGGACAUGGUGUUCCAUCGACAUCGACAACAGCCAUGCUCAGCACAGAAGCGGCACACGUUGCUUUUUUUUUCUGUGCAGGAUAAUCUUCCAUACCCAGAAACAGAGGAUGGCUCAGUCCGAGAAGGGCCCACCACACAGACGUGAGGACCUGAGUUCAGGCCCCCAGAACCCACGUAAAAACCGAGCACGGUGCCGUGUCUUUAAGCCCAGUACUGAGGGGUGGAGACAGGUGGAUCCCUAGAGCUCAUCAGCUAUCUAGCCUCAUCUGAUUGAUGAGCUUCAGGCUUAGUGAAGAGAACCUGUCUCAGUACAAACAAACAAACAAACGAACAACGAGAACAAGGGAGGAAGAUAUCCAGUGCUGAGCUCUGGCCCCUACACACACACACACACACACACACGCAUGUGUAUAAAUACAGACACAUGCGUGCACCACAACAAACACAAAAAAACAAAUCACCAAACAAACAACAGACAAAAUGACUUCAAAUGAUGGCAAGUCAGAGGCCAGGGAAAAGUGGAAUGCUCAUGGUGGCUGAGCCAUCUCUUCCCUCAUGGCUAGGUAGGCAGACAGAGCUGGGGGUGGGGUAGGGUUGGGGGCUGGGAUAGACAUCAACACCAUGCUGAGCUCGGGCAAGCUGGUAUGCCCAGUACACUUUUGGACCAUUUUCAAAACCAGCUCCCACCACCAGGCUUUCUUGUCAUAGGGAUGUUGUGUGAGCUCGGGUCCUGGAGGUACCACAGAGGGAACUGUGCUGUGCAGCCACCCAGGUCUACAAAGGGCUCCAACUGCAGCCCAGUGUAACUGCCACACGUUAUUUUACAACGUGGUUCUUAAAGAUUCUAUUUGUAAAGUUUUGUGUUAUUUUUCAUUGUGUGCAUGUGGGUCUUGUAGAGGGAGUGUGUGCAUGUGAGUGUGAGUACUAGUAAAUGGCACUAGAUCCCCUUGAGCUGGAGUGACACGUGGGUCACUCCACGUGGGUCCUGGGAACCGAUCUUGGGUCUUCUGGAAGAACAGAAAGCCCUCUUCACUGAUGAGCCGUCUCUCCAGCUCCCUUAAAAGAGCCUUGUUUCCAUGUUGUCAGUAUUUACAAAUCUGCCCUAAUGUAUUUAUUUGUUUACAUUCUAGAUCAAUCCAAACUGCAUUUUGGCUGCCUUCCACACACACACCAGUUCAGAUGAAAUCCAGGAACACUUCACUCUCGACUGAACACCACAGUAUGGGCCACCCUCAGGUGAUGCGGCUUUAGGGUUACACAGUUGUUUUUCCACAUCAACUUUAUACAUUUAAGCCAGACUUAAAGCUUAACUCACAAGGACCCCGAUUUCCUCGCUGUCUGUGUUCACCUGUCAAGUCAAGGCUCAAAAUACUACAGAAAGCGCUUUCUAAUUGUCGCUCAAAGGCAAUCAAGCAAUCAGCAAGAGCAGGCAUCGGCUGUAAAUGUCAACCCAAACAAAUAUUUCAGAGAAUUUUAAUUUAACAAAGUAUUGAUUGAAUAGCUCUUACGUUCAAAGUCUUGUGCUCACUCAGAGAGGCAGGGAAAGGAGGCAGAGGUGCCUACAGACUAAGGAGACAACCUUAGCUCAGGCUCUGUUUACCCCCAUCCGGAGGGCUUUGCCGGGUGGCCAUCUGCCUGUCGCCGCAGGAGCCUCCUCUAUGUCCCAUGGUCAUCGGCACUCCCAGGCCUGUGUGCAGCUACAUGUGGGGCAGUGGAUUUCUAUACUGGGUCACUAAUGCUGGAGGCCAAAAGUGCCCCCAACUAGCCAGGGACUAUUUCCACUGAGUGAUUACUUUGCCUGGCAAGUGUCAGUCUGUCUGGUGUCUGUGUCUGUUCAGAGAUGUGGAGAAUUCCUCACUACCCUGCCAACCCUGCCAGACAUAGUCCAUGCAUAUAUACACACUCCAAGAAAACAGGUCACAGACAGACACACAGCUCAGGGUCCCUAGGAGUUGAGUUUUAAAUCUGGUUCAAAUGUUUAAAAUAGGAAUAAAACCUGAAUAAGUCCACAGUGACCCACUAUGAAACUAAUGUGCCCUCAUAUUUCUCUCUCUCUCUCUCUCUCUCUCUCUCUCUCUCUCUCUCUCUCUCUGUCUCUCUCUGUCUGUCUCUGUCUCUGUCUCUCUCUCUGUCUGUCUCUGUCUCUGUCUCUCUCUCUCUUUCUCUCUCUCUCUCUCACACACACACACACACACACAUUGUGUGUGUAUGUGUAUGCAAAGCAAAAAAUGCACUUUGGAUCUAUAGAGACUAUAAAUUAACACACACACACACAAGUGGAUAGGCCAUGAGUCAGAAACCAACACUUGGUAGCUGUAAGAUUGGUGUAUGGUUUUCUCUCCUACACAGAAAUAAUGGGCUUUAUUGCGUGAUACUGAUAUUUAGAGUUUAAUCCUCAAUAAUUAUCAGUAAUUAUUAGUGUUUGGCUGUGAAUAGAUAAUUAUGCAAGUGGUGUCCUCCUUUUGAAAUGGAAAAGUGGGGUGACGCUACAGAAACAGUCACUUUAAUCCCAGAAGCUCUCGUUCUCUAGCCAAUGGUGAGCAGCCCCAAACAUGCGCAGAGCAGCCAUGCCGUGGCAUCCGCCCCAGGCCUGCCUGGGAUCUCCUUCUCCACAGUCUUAUCAGGAAGCGCAGACAGCCAGAGCAGAGGGCAGCCUAGGGGAAGGUAGCUGACCCCACAUCACCUGAGGAAGUGAGGAUCCAAUCCCAGGAUCUGUGCACAAUACAGGUUCUCCUUGGGUGUGUCUGGGGGAUGCCUCUGCCUCUGCCUCCCUAACAAGUUUCCUGGAAAUGCCAGGACCCUGGUCUACAGACUGUACUUUGCAACAUGAAGUGGGAGAGGGUUUCUGUGUGCACAGACCCCGUGCUUGCCAUACAGGUCCAGAUCUCAGUAGGAGGACAAGCCAGGCCUAACUCCUGUUACCGUGACAGCAAGGGGGCAGAGAGGUUCCCAUGCAGUGCGGCAGGGGCUCUGAGUCUUCUUCAUAUAGCUGUGGUCUGCAAGGGAAGAGGUUGGCCUGCAGAUACACAUUGGAGCAACAUCACCUCAGCAUCAGGAAAUGCCACACCCACACCCCCAUCCCUGGCCUCUACGUGUUGAUAUGGACUCACUUCUACAACUCUUUGCACAAAACACCCUAAAACGUGUAAUGCUGCAGGCCUUCAGGAUGGCUCAGCAGGUAACGAUGCUACUGCCAACCCUGACGACCCGAAUUCCGUCUCCAGGCCCCACAUGGUAGAAGGAGAGAACUGAGUCCUUCGUGUUACCCUCUGACCUCCACAUGUUCACCGUGGCACACACAACAGGAAUACACAUCAAUUAAUAAAUAAAUAUAAUUAAAACAGCGUUGAUGUGAUGUUUCCUGCAAUCUUCACAGAUGUGACUUUGUAUUUAAUGUUACAGUGUAUCUCAUAUACCUCAGAUUCUCUUUUUUGUGUGAAUAUAUAUAUAUAUAUAUAUAUAUAUAUAUAUAUAUAUACACACACACACAUAUGCAUUUUUUUUCUAACACAAGUUAUGGGUUGAAGUAGAGCUCGGAUGAUUGCUUGUUUCCAUGUGGCUUUACAAUGGUCACUGUUAGAAUUUUAAGGUUGGGACAGCUUCCCUGUGCGUGCGUUUGAUUUAGGUUGAUGAAUGGGCUGCAAAGAGAUCAAAUACUAUUGGUAGAGGCAGUUGCUAAGAGAUUCUAUUGACAACAGGUGAUGGUAAUCUUGUGUCUGAAAAAAUGCAGAUGCUACAGAAAACAUGACUAUCCACCUUGAAAACAUCAGGGGUGUGUGUGUGUGUGUGUGUGUGUGUGUGUGUGUGUGUGUGUGUGUUCCCAGUGAAGGUCAUUCAACUCUAAAGCUCACAGAAGGAUAAAAAUAGAUAGAAAACCAUAAAGGACAUCCAACAUAAAAUUUAUGUCAAAGAGAUGACAGGGGAUAAAAGGAAGUGAUUGUGAUACCAGCUAUAAAAGGUAAGUGUGGGCCAAGGGCGGAGAAAUGAUUAACUUUCUAUUUUGUCGGCACACCUGUUAGAUAUAAGCCAACAUUUUAGCACACCAUGAGCUGCCCCUACACAGUUUUAACAGAUUGCUGACUGACUAUUCAAUAUCAACGCUGGCAUAUCUCAUUACAGAGAACUAAGGGGUGAGCGGGUGGAAGAAUGACCGUGGAUCUGAGGUGUGGAUCUGUGCCGUCUCUCAGAUCGCAGAGACCCCCUGUCUGGUCACAGAUCCCGAGGCCAGCUGGUCAAUAUGGUGGAAGCCUGUGAUGUCCAGAGUCCAGAUCUCACUGACCAAGGGAGGCAACGGUUAGCCCCAUGCCAAGGGAGGGGUGAAGUUCAGCUGAUACACUGUCUUCCUCAGGCCAUGAUGUCCGAGGGUAAGAAAGAAGGUGUCCAAGCCUCGCACAGUUAAUCCCUUCAUUAAAGCUUUACUAAGGAGAUAGGAGUGGGCAGUGGAAGGGCAUUCUGUAUGAGCCAUGGGAGAAGAGAUAAUGCACCUGGUGGCCCACGCUGGCCAGAAACAGAGACUUAGACAGUGAAUGCUGGGCUCUUGAAACAGGAAAGAAUGACAAAGCACGACAUCCCGAGUAAAGGGGUUGGGACUGUCCUGAGGCAGCUUUCAGGAAGCCAGAAGUUAGAGCAGGGGCUAUGGAAGUGCAAGCUGCGGUUUACUGUCACACUUCGGUAGCAUUUUAGUGAACCAACAGGACGUGCUAGGGAACAUCAGAGGUGAUUAAGAGCCAUCCUUGCCCCUCUGGAAGCCUCAAACUGUUAAGACCAAACCUUCUGGCCAUCAGAUGAACUCCUCUGUGUGAUGGAGGGUCAUCUGCUUUAGUCACUGCUGCUGCUGCUGUGAUGCUGAUCGUGAAUGAUCACCACAUCACAGCAGUGUCCACCCCGCCACCCAGGAAUGAUGACUAACAAGACCCUGGCACACACACACAGAGACAGCUCAGCAUCACCCAGGCUCUGAACCCCGGCAGACCUGGGGUGUGCAUGUCUUUGCUAAGCAGGCUGCAUCAGGGACAGCCUCUCCACCUUGGCUUCCUCCUCUCUAGUGUGGAAAGAAUAACAGACACCAAGAACAGCUGCCAAAGCAGUUAAGCAUGUGCUCAGAGACUGCGGGAUUUUGGUACCACCCCUUUAAGCUUAGGGGGGUGGCAAACCAAAGAAACUGGGGUACACCUGACAGUUGAGAGAGGGCUCUGAGAGCCAGGACAGAGUUCUGGGGGAAGACCCGGAGCUGGAGGAUGACAAGAUGAGGCUGGAGGAUGAGGCUAUCAUUGAGCGGUCCCUCUGGGACCUGUCCUAGUUUGUCACAAUUCCACAGACAACAAGUGCCCGAUUACGAUCAGGAAUAGCCACCUCUGCCUGUUUGCUAAGGACAGUGCCUCCCCUGGGUGUCUCUGUCCCUCACAAACAGCACUGAGGUCACUACCUCCUCCAGGGCAUUGCCUGACACUAAAGGGUGCCAUUCAAACCCCUUCCUUUCUAGGAACAAGCCAAUGGCUGAAGCAGGGUUUUCCUGGGUCCCCGAGCAGGUCCUGUUUGCCAGCUCGCCCAGUGUGCAUGCCUCCAGCAAAAUCCACAGAGCAAAGAAAUAAUAAAAUAAUAAAAACCCAGUGCUUUUACUCCUGAGACUAAAUCACGAGGCACAGAGCAGGUACAGACGUCCCCGUGACCCACAGCCCAAUGUGGCUGCUCUGACGUGCGUGCGACUGAGGUCACGGCUGACCGGUUGCCAGAGGUUCCUCGGUGACUGCAGAGAUCGUGUGUCUCUGCUUUGCAGUUAUGUAACUGCCUUGACUUGAAGGACUGCCUGUGCUCACGUGAGAACAGCCCCUGUCUUCCAGUACCAGUGCUGGGUCACAAGACACAGAUCUCUGUGUGCCGGUUUCACAUGAGGUCAUCGACCUAUGUGACCCAUGACAGAAAUGGAAAGCUGGCUUUCCUGGGGACCCUCCUUCACUCCUUCUUCUUCAGCUCUCUGGCUGUUUCAUCUGAUUACAGCAUAUCUGAACCCCUAAUAAUAUCAACAACCAACCACAUGAAAAGGGCAGCCAUGAGUCUAUGGGGCAGCUCGGGGCCUCACGGCUCCUUCCUCUUCUUGUUAGUUGAAAAUAAUUCUUGAAGGGGAAAAAAAAGCAUUUCAAAAAGAACUUUUCUUUUCCCAGAGAUUUGAAGCAGGAUGUUAUUAUGCGUCUUCUAUUACAUUAGGAAACUUUAUUAAAACCAUCUUUCUCUGGCUUUUUAAAUCUGAGGCGUGUAGCACACUUGGCAAGCCCACAAAUACCUCCAUAAUGACGAACAGAAAUAUAUAUGUGUUUGUAACAGGCACACUAUUGUUCUUCUAAAAUAUGACCCCUUUCCUAUACAUUUUUCCUCCUGGCAUCAUGGAAAAACAAACCUUAGAUCAUUUUAAGAUUUAUCACCAGACACUUGGAAUUCAUGGGGUAAAAUUGAGGCAUGGGUUUCUCUUCCUCCUGAUUUCUUUCAGCUUUCAGCCUGGGUCAUUCAGUGUUCGCAUUUGCUUAAUUAAAACCCACAUUUGCUGGCUGGGUGCUUCAGAAGGACUAGAAAUCAUUGAAUUUACAAAGUGUGAUUUCAAACUGUGUAGGAAGCUUUGAUUGGCCCUCAUGGGCGCUACGGCAAGCCAGGCAUACAACAGGCUCUAAAACCUCACAGGAGGUUAUACCCUUUGUCCCUGCAUUUGAUCCUUUCAUGUGGUUUAGAUGAGUUCCCAGCAUGCCAAGCGUCAGUCCAGUGUAUCAGCUAUCUGCUGCCUCAACAAUGUGAGUGACAAACAGGAAAUCUCAGCUAACACAGAAGUGCCAUUGGAUCCUCAACUCUAUGGGUCUCUGCUGACCAGGACUGAGUUCAUGCCUGGUCAGUGUGGGUCAUCUCGACAACUCCACAGGCCUGGCUGGGUUUGCUUACAAAUGGAGGCUUGAAGAGGAGUGGCUUGCCUCUGGUGACCUCAGAUAAAAGGGUUGUGGCUCAACUCUGCUUCCUCUGACUUUUCUCAGACAAGCUCUCAUGGCUGGACAGAGUUUCCGAACAGAGAGAUGCAGCACAUAAACACCUGCCUGGCCUCUCUGGCCUCAGGAGUGCUGAUCCUCACUGGCUCCAGGCAGUCACCUGGCCAGCCAAACGCCAGAGAGGGAGAAGAUUGAGGGCCAGAUGGAAAGAGCUUGACAAGGAGGCAAGUGGACGGGUGGAGAGCCUUGCUUGUCCCUUUGCCACAGUGUGCUCCUGAAGCCACAGGCACGUGUCAGAGAGCAGCGGUGUGCAAGCCCAGAGGAGGACAAGCAUUCUGGCCUGAGUAUCUAGGAAGGCUUCCUGGUGGAGGUCACAAAACCAGAAGUGCAUCAAGACGUUGUGGCGGCGUCACGGAGAGCUGCUUCCACUUUGAAGCAGUGACCAGCGAUACCGAGGCCUGGGCCUUCACUGUGGCGACUCCUGCCUGGUGGCUCGGCUUCUUCUUCCUAUCGUUUGGCAACCUCUGCACCCCACGGGAGGAGGAGUUAGUCCAUCCUUCCUCCCGCUUGUGUUCCUCCUCAUCCUCCUGUGUGCACAAAUACAGCCAGACCUAACUAAGCCUUCACCCCACGAUGCAGUUCUAACGUAGCACUGUGUAAGUGGAGAUGGGAUUUCAGGGAGUCUGUCUUCUGAUACUGAAACCCCAAACUUCUCGAAGAAGUGAUUCCCUCCUGGUUUUCUAAGAUGACUGGUCAACCCUGUGUGUGCCCUGGGUUGUAUGAGAGCCAGUUACCAGACUGAACCCUGAACCUAAAGACAAAGGGACAUUGAAAUAGGUUUGUCAUCAAUAGCAAACUGAAAUAUGCACGGUGUUAGUUUCCGUACGGCGUUCACCAGACGCACGCAAGUGCCAGCUCACUUGUGGAAUGUGGGUUUAAAUUUAUAUGUGUACACACCUGCGAAAGAGAACCAGGGCCACGAGGGAAAGCGACUGUUCCUCAGAGCUGAGCUGCUCAUGUCCAAUGGGCUUCUGAAUCACUUACUGCUUCAUAGAAUGUCAACUUCUGCAGUGUUUUCCCAUUGGGGCGGCUGGCCCUUGUACAUCCAAAUUAAGCCCUAAGGACUUCAUGAUGAGGUCCUGAGCGCCCCCUAACCAUCACACCUCUCAGUACUACCACGUUGGGGUUAGGCUGGCCUCUGGGAAUUAUAGAAAGACACUGACAUUUAGACCUAGGUAGAGAUAAUUGACAGGUGGGUAGGUAGAUUGAUAGAUAUAUAGAUAGAUGACAAUAAAUGAUAAAUACAUAAAUAGAUAAUAGAUUGAUAGGCAACAGAUAGAUGGUAGACAGAUUGAAGAAAGAAACAUAAGGUAGAUAAUAUUUAGAUGAUAGAUUACAGAUAAUGACAGAUAGUAGAUUGAUAGAUGAUAUAUAGAUGACAUUGAUAAUAGAUUGAAAAAAGACAAAAUAAUAAAUGAUAGAUAAUAGAUUUAUAGAUGGAAGAUAGAUUGGUGGUAGACAUAUAAAUGGAAGGAAGGAAGGGAGAAAGGGAGGAAGGGAGGGCCUUGAGGAAAGUGUCUGAGGUGUUGGUAGUACUGUUACUACUAUUUCUGGUAAGCAGGAAUUUUUACACUUAGUUCAUGUCUAAAGAGUAGACUCUGGUGGAUGAUAACAUUUCUCUAAGAAGAUGCCUAUAUUUUAAGUCAGUUUAGAAGGGCUACACUUGAGGAAAUAUGAGAUAAAAUUUAAGCAAAAUAAAAUUGAAAAUCAUGCAUGAAGUUUAGGAAAGCCAUUACAAAAGGAGAAUGUAGGGAAAGAAACUGGGUCAGCAAGAGUUCAAAGUUCAAGCUAGAUUAAAAACAUUGACUUUAUUUUAGUAGAUCUCAGAUGACACAAUGCCAUUCACAGCUGCCAAGAUAAACAAUUGUGUGCACCACACAUGAAGGGCACCAUGAGCUAUGAUACAAGAAAAGUCCCCAAAAAGGGGCAGCGAGGUGGAGGUGAUGCUGAGGGACACCAGAGAGCUGGGUCAGGAAAAUUUUAUAAGACAUCAAGAAACAGGAACAAACACAAAGAUCUGUGGAAAACUCAACAUCAGAGAAGCUGGAGUUCUUUUAAGUUAAUUCAAACACUUGACACAGCACCAAAAAAAAAAAAAAAAAGUACCAAAUCUCAGUACUGGAAAUAGACUGAAAUUCUAAAUUUUACUUUGAAUAAUGGAAGACACAAAUAGCCAGGAAAACUCAACAGCGCAGCCUGUCCAGUUCUGCCUGACGACCAGAGAACUGGCAACCUGAGUAGUCCCAGCACUCUGCCAGGUUCAUUGGCCCAGCAGAGGGAGGCACAGAUUCUAGAUUCUGGGGUGACUUAGUUUUCAAUGCGGGUAUCACCGAACCACAAUCGAGAAUCAGUGUAUUACUGGACAUGACAAAUGGCCCAUUUCCUGCAAUAAAGUGGAUGCAUUCUAAGCUUGUGCUGCAGACCAAGGCCAAUCUCACAUAGAUAAGAGAAUAAAAGUAAGACAAAAAAAAAUCAAAUCUCCAAUAGGAAAUUCUGCUGAAGGAGAAGGACCAUCUAACUAUCAUUCAAACCAGGAAACCAUGCACUCCUUGAAAGUAUUGAAAACCAGUAUGGGAAACAAACCCCUGAGCACUACAUGGUAACAGAGCCAGGACAAACACAAGGCAUGCCUUCAAAAUAAAUACCCACUGUUUGUAUCAGAAAGGACUAAUUUUAUGCAGAUAUAAUAAUGAGCAUCCUCAAAUCAAAGAUGAGGAAUGCAGUAGAGAAAUGAAAAAUGGGUAGAGUUUGUAAUCUAAAAGUACUUGUUUUUUCCUAAUUUAUCAAAAUAUGCUCAAAUCCAUGAAUAAAAUGAAACUGGAAAAUCAU